GUAUUGUUUCUCUGAAAACUGGGAAGUAAACUUUAAUUCUAUCGUGGAUGCUGCCUGACCCGCUGAGUUCCUCCAAAAUGUUAUAUUUGACGCAGUCUGGAUGAAGUCAUGGUUUCUUUCAUCAGGUGUAUGCUGACAAGUAGUAUAUUACGUUUUAGUUGGAUUAUUUGGAACAAAGCUCAUGAUUUUAAAAUAAACUUCAUUUAUUUCUUCCCUUCUGUUAUAAAAUGCAUUUUGCACAAAAGCAUUUCCUGCUGAAUUACAACUUCCAGUAAAACUGCUGUGAAUAUUCACCACAACCUACAUUGUCUCAAUCAAACAAAUUAGAAUGACAAAAGAUAACAAGGCAAUAGUAAAAUGAUUUUUUUUUAAAAGGCUUCACUUGUGUGGAUCAGUAAUAAGCCACUGGAUCCUAGUUAGGAUCACAGUGAUUUGAUUAUUUCAAUGGUUUAAGCAAUUAGAUUAAUUGCUGUAACUGAGAAAAAGUUGUCGGGGGUUCUGUUAAUUGCCUGCAGUUUACACAAGUAAUAAAAUUGAUGGUUUUGCACAAUUAUGAAACCUAUUAAUUGUGAAUGGCAUAAUGAGUUCAUGAUAGG